GACCCGUCUUGAACCAAGGAGUCUAGCAUAUGCGCAAGUCAUUGAGACUAAAACAUUUUUUCAUCGGAAUGUAUAUAAAAUUUAUGAAACUCAAAGGCGAAAUGAAAGUAAAAUGUUAUAUAAUAUAUUGCAAAAUGUAUGGUAUUGCAUAAGGGAAGAUAUAUUUUUACUAUGUGUUAAAUAUCGCAUUCCUAGGGCGUCUUAAUUAUUAUAUUUGAAUAACGGAGUUUUUAAUGUCUCGACGGCAUAUUCAGUGUAAGUGUAGGUUUUUCGGAAUUAUAACUGCCUGUCUAUGUGUUCGGGCGUGUACAUUGGCUUGUCGAUUCGUUUAUAAUAGAGGCGCACCCAGAGCGUAUACGCUGGGACCCGAAAGAUGGUGAACUAUGCCUGGUCAGGACGAAGUCAGGGGAAACCCUGAUGGAGGUUCGUAGCGAUUCUGACGUGCAAAUCGAUCGUCGGAACUGGGUAUAGGGGCGAAAGACUAAUCGAACCAUCUAGUAGCUGGUUCCUUCCGA
rnacentral:rRNA from 1 species